UACGAAGGGGGCUAGCGUUGCUCGGAAUUACUGGGCGUAAAGCGCACGUAGGCGGCUCUUUAAGUCGGGGGUGAAAUCCUGGAGCUCAACUCCAGAACUGCCUUCGAUACUGAAGAGCUUGAGUCCGGGAGAGGUGAGUGGAACUGCGAGUGUAGAGGUGAAAUUCGUAGAUAUUCGCAAGAACACCAGUGGCGAAGGCGGCUCACUGGCCGGUA
rnacentral:rRNA from 1 species